UAUGAAGGGUGCAAGCGUUACUCGGAAUUACUGGGCGUAAAGCGUGCGUAGGUGGUUGUUUAAGUCUGUCGUGAAAGCCCUGGGCUCAACCUGGGAAUUGCGAUGGAAACUGGGCGACUAGAGUGUGGCAGAGGAUAGUGGAAUUCCUGGUGUAGCAGUGAAAUGCGUAGAGAUCAGGAGGAACAUCCGUGGCGAAGGCGACUGUCUGGGCCAACACUGACACUGAGGCACGAAAGCGUGGGGAGCAAACAGG
rnacentral:rRNA from 1 species